AUUGAACGCUGGCGGCAGGCCUAACACAUGCAAGUCGAACGGUAGCACAGAGAGCUUGCUCUCGGGUGACGAGUGGCGGACGGGUGAGUAAUGUCUGGGAAAAUGCCUGAGGGAGGGGGAUAACUACUGGAAACGGUAGCUAAUACUACAUAAUGUCGCAAGACCAAAGAGGGGGACCUUCGGGCCUCUUGCCAUCGGAUGUGCCCAGAUUGGAUUAGCUAGUAGGUGGGGUAACGGCUCACCUAGGCGACGAUCCCUAGCUGGUCUGAGAGGAUGACCAGCCACACUGGAACUGAGACGCGGUCCAGACUCCUACGGGAGGCAGCAGUGGGGAAUAUUGCACAAUGGGCGCAAGCCUGAUGCAGCCAUGCCGCGUGUAUGAAGAAGGCCUUCGGGUUGUAAAGUACUUUCAGCGGGGAGGAAGGGGUUGAGUUUAAUACGCUCAAUCAUUGACGUUACCCGCAGAAGAAGCACCGGCUAACUCCGUGCCAGCAGCCGCUGUAAUAC
rnacentral:rRNA from 1 species